AUCUGCCGGAGGUAAUGACUCUAUUACGUGCGUUGUGGAUUCAUUGAGGUGACAUUUCCCGCUCAGCUGCGCAGCAACAAUGAUGGGACACUGGAUGCUGGAAGGGACGGACAGCAACGGCGAAAAGGAGGCGCGCCGCAAGAGCAACACUUCCCGGCGGCUGGCGGCAGGUGCCUCUGAACCACGCCCUGGCUUCCGCGUGUAGGUAGGUUACGGGGUAGGUAGCUAACAUUCCGUAGCGCAGUUACGAUUCUGCAUAAAUUACAAAUGGCAACGCACGUGGAAAACAAUUGUGACUCAUCCACCCCCUGCAGAAGUGUGAAGGCUUCAGACGGCCACCGCAACUGCGCAUGUACAAGACAAACCUCUAUAUCCCUAUAAAACAUCCAAUUACCUCACGCCUGUCAUAAACAUGAGACGAGCUUUAGGGCUCUUCGGUAGAGCUGAGUAACUCACAGGCACUGAACUAAUGUCUGAAUAUAUGCCUUGAUUCGUUCACAGAAAACACUAUUUUAAGUGACAUGCUGAUUUGCACGAAGAUACAGCCUAUGGGACUCUGCAAGAUGGCAGAUGGAAGAGGCAAGAUGGGAACUGCAAGACAGGCCUUUUUGAAACCUACUUUGUUACAUGAACAAUCAUCUUUUAAAGUGAUAUAGGACGUUAGCCUCGCGCGUCUGCGCUCUGGCCACCACCAGCGCCGGGAGGAGAGAACGCCGCCGAUCAACGCAACGCCAACAUGAACUUCGCGCUCGAAGCCGGAGCAGCGUACAACUCGACGGAGACGUACAAUGACUCCGACGCGCUGACGAGGAGCGGCGAGAACGCGACGGCGACGACGGCUUACACGCCGGUCGCCGAGUAUCUCUACAUAGCCUUCAACGUCAUCUCCACGACGCUGGCCAUCCUCUCCAACGCUCUCGUCAUCGUUUGCAUCAGGAAAUUCGACUUUCUCCAGACGACCACAAACAGGCAAGUGCGACUAUGUCUCUCGUCAACUUGUGUAUACAGACAUCUAAGUAAACCAUUUAUAGAUGCAGACUUGAAAACGUUAGGUCAACUUUUGCAGCAAUGAAAGCCAAUAUUAAACAUGUUAUGAACAUUGAAAAGUAUAUUGCACAAACAAAUAGCAAUAUGAACAAAUUUUAUGGUAAAUGGGCUUCUAUUUUUCACAGUUUACAAUAGGAACCACAUAUAAAUACUAUACCUUAAUAUGCACUAAGUCUUGAUUGUGAACUUAUAUGUAAUAGGAUCCCGAACAUGCAAAUGUAAGUCAAGUAUAUAAAGUUGUGUACCAAAGUAUACCUACGUAUCAAAUUGUAUAUAAGUUAAAUACAAGUAUACAAGUGUACAAGCAUGUAUUGUAAUGGCUGUAACAUGUAUGUAGGCUAACAUACCUGGAAAUAAAAUAAAAAUUAAAAAAGUGCGCCGA